rnacentral:rRNA from 1 species
GAGUUUGAUCGUGGCUCAGGACGAACGCUGGCGGCGUGCUUAACACAUGCAAGUCGGACGGGGUUGAGUGGAGGAUGCUUUAGGGUUGAAUCUGCUUGACCUAGUGGCGGACGGGUGAGUAACGCGUGAAUUACCUACCCUAGGGGAGGGGAUAACGCCUGGAAACGGGUGCUAAUACCCCAUAAGCUGGAAGGUGAAAGGGAGAGAUCUGCCCUAGGAUGGGUUUGCGUCCUAUCAGCUAGUUGGUGGGGUAAUGGCUACCAAGGCGGAGACGGGUAGCCGGUCUGAGAGGAUGUACGGCCACACUGGAACUGAGACACGGUCCAGACUCCUACGGGAGGCAGCAGUGGGGAAUAUUGGGCAAUGGGCGGAAGCCUGACCCAGCGACGCCGCGUGAGGGAGGAAGGCCUUUGGGUUGUAAACCUCUGUUGUACGGAAGAAGGUAGUGACGGUACUGUACGAGGAAGCCCCGGCAAACUACGUGCCAGCAGCCGCCGCAGUAAU